AAGAAGAAAGGAAGGAACAAAGGGAAUGAAGACAGACUAAGGCUUUUAGCCACUGCCAUUAGGCUGCCUGACCACCUCAUGGCCACCCAAACCAACCCCAAAGAAGAGCACAAGCCCUUCAGACUACCUCUCAGUUAUUGAAGACCUUGAAGACCAUACCCAGAAGUGUGAGGAUGUAGGUCUGAGGUCCCUGAUUGAGCUUUUGAAGCCUCUUGGCCUCAUUUUGCCUUCCUCUUUGAAAUGGAUACAAUCUGCCUUCACCUGGAUUCAUGGGGUACCUCAUUCAUGGGGUACCUCAACAGCUUUGCCAUUGUACCCAAACAUUGCAGACAAGAUCUUAAUUGCAUCCACCUUUCUCCGGGA